rnacentral:lncRNA from 1 species
AGUCAUAAAUGCACUCGAAUAUCAAUCAUCAUUUCGAAAUAUAAUCACACACAAAAUAUCAUAGAUACAUUCGUAUAUUGUUCAUAAUCUCGAAACAUAAUCACACACACACAAAAAAUCACAGAUACACUCAAAUGGUCAUUUAUAUGGUUUCAUCACGCGAUGUCGUUUUUGUCAUCAUCAAGGAAAUGCGAAAUGGAUCCCCCUAUCGCAUGGAUAGCACACACAUAAAUCACAUAAUGGCCACAGCAAGUAUGUUUGCUAAGUGACCCACACUCACACGAAUGCCGAUCCACGUCUAGAUUAAGUUUCAAACUCUAUUCAUGUGCAAGUUCACCAUGCCCACUAAACUUCAACCACACACACACACUCCCCUCCUCAAUUUAGACUAAAAGAGAAGGUAUUUAGGGUCCUUACCCUAUUCACUCCUACCCUCUCAUUCCAAAAUUCUCAAUUUGUUUAAAUGAUCAUUUCUUAACCUUAAUUAUUUCUUUU